UACGUAAGGACCGAGCGUUGUCCGGAAUCAUUGGGCGUAAAGGGUACGUAGGCGGUUAGAAAAGUUGGAAGUGAAAGGCUAUAGCUUAACUAUAGCAAGCUUUUAAAACUGGUUAACUUGAGAGAUGGAAGGGGAAGUGGAAUUCCUAGUGUAGCGGUGAAAUGCGCAGAUAUUAGGAGGAAUACCGGUGGCGAAGGCGACUUUCUGGCCCUAAUCUGACGCUGAGGUACGAAAGCGUGGGUAGCAAACGGG
rnacentral:rRNA from 1 species